rnacentral:rRNA from 1 species
UACGUAGGGUGCGAGCGUUGUCCGGAAUUAUUGGGCGUAAAGAGCUCGUAGGCGGUCUGUCGCGUCUGCUGUGAAAUCCCGAGGCUCAACUUCGGGCUUGCAGUGGGUACGGGCAGGCUAGAGUGCGGUAGGGGAGAAUGGAACUCCUGGUGUAGCGGUGGAAUGCGCAGAUAUCAGGAAGAACACCGAUGGCGAAGGCAGUUCUCUGGGCCGUAACUGACGCUGAGGAGCGAAAGCGUGGGGAGCGAAC